rnacentral:lncRNA from 1 species
UAAAUCAUUUAAUUAUUUUUAUAAGACCAUAAACUUUAUACAUUAUAAAGAGAUCAAGUCAUUUACUAUUAUUUAGAUGCAAAUAGAAAGAAAAAAAAUAUGGUUGAAACUUUAAAGUUGGUUUAUGUUCUGAAUCUAUUUUAUUCCAUAUUUCUUGGCAUAAUAGUAUGUAAUACUUCUCUAAUUAAAUAUUUUGACGUUCCUUGGGAAAAAGAUAAAGAUUGUCCAAAACCUCUGAGGUUUAAUAUUAGGUGUCGUAAAGGCUUCUGUGUACGGAUCUGAAACAUACUAAUGAUAUAAAUGAGUUCUUGCUCUAGCAAGAUAAUUGUAUGAUAUAUCUUAUGUUAAAAUAUUUCAUUUGUUAACAUUUAGAUUUUAUGCAUGCACUAAAUAUUUAUUCCUCCUCCUGCUCCUCAAUACUAAUUUCACAUAAUCCUCAUCUUGAAACCAUUAAUUCGAACCAAGUCUUAUCAAAUCCAUUGUUAAUUAUGUUUCACGCCUCACUGAGAUGAGACAAUAUGAAAAUAAUAUCAUGAAUCAACAAUAAGCAGUAUCAAAAAGAAAUUAAACAAAAAAAACAACAUUUUUUUAAUGUAAAAUACGUAUAUUAUAAAUAAAAUGGUGAAAUCUCAUGCAAGAGUACAACCACAUAGUUAAGUCAAAAAAAAAAAAAAAGAGUACAACCACAUAGAAAUUAGAGUACAAGAAGUACUAAAGUCAAGUAAUAAUAAAAAACAUAGAAUCCCACACAGAAAAACAAAAGUAAGAACUAAAACACCAACGGAAAACCAACUAAACUCCUAUCAAGAACCCUCAACCACAGGCUAAAGUUUAGAGUUCGACUCGACUUUUAGUUCGUCGAACUUGGUUCAUGAACCAAAUGAGUUGAGUUUGAGCUGAAAAUUAAAUUCGUUAAAUAAAUGGCUGAGCUUCAACUAUAUAUAGUUUAACUCAUUUGAAAGUUCAACUCACUUAGUUCAUGAACCGACUUGAUUACAAAUAUAUAUUUGCAACAUGUGGCAAAUUUCAAGGGGCAACAUAGAGAGUUAGCACAAAACAAGUCCCACAUGGAAGGUCUUGUAAGCUUACAAAGGUCAACGUAAAAUAAGCGCUUGUGUUGCAUCCUUCUACGAUGUUUUUUCACUGUCAUUAAAGUGACAUACACAUUCCAUUUUUCACUUGAACAAAGUAGUUUAAUUUUUUUUAAGUUACCACUAUUACGUGAGCACUCGGUUUCUUGAACCAAUUUGUGGUUUGGAAGUGGUUUUAGGGAAUUCUAUAGAUUUGUAUGUAUAUUUAAUAUUUUCCUUUUAAAAAAUAAUUAAAUUAAAUGGUGAAAAGAUCUAAACAAUUAUCUCUUUUUUUAGGGGUGAAGAUCCUCUCAAUUUGGCAAAAUAUAUGGAGUUUUACAAGUUGGAGAGAGAUAGAAACAAAAAAUAGAUGGUGGGUCCUACCACUAAGUGGGUCCCACCAUCAUUAAUUAUAUUUUACUUUUUUCAAAAUUUUAUGUGUCUUUAUCUCUCCAAAUUGAAGAAAUGGAGAAACAUAUAAAUGGAGAUGAUCCUAACCCUGACCAUAAUGUUUUCAUAAAAACCACUUUCAAGAGGAAAAUUUAACAAUAUCCACCAACCGUAGCAGAUAUGUUAAUAUUUGUUAAAAGUGGAGAAAGAAAAGCCCAAUUUUUGCACGAAAUUUAGCCUAGGAUGGUCCUUCCCAACGACUUAGGUUUUCAGAGCCACCCAUGACAACCAAGAAUGAUUUCAUAAUAAAUAAUAAUUAUUUUAACAAUUUUGUUUUAAAAUCAAUCCAAUUUACUUUGUAAAUAUUAUGAUUCGCAUAAUUGACGUGAAUAAAAAAGUAAAAUAAAUUAUGCAAUGAAAUUUUAAAUCUACAUUUUACACGUUCAUAAUAAUGUUCUCACUCGAAUGGUGUAAUAUAUUCAUACAUGCCUUUACUAUCACGAAAGGGUAAAAAAUUAGUGAAGGAAAAGAUAAUGAAAAGUUAGCUAAAUUAUAUUUAAUUAUUAUGAUUAUUAAGCUUAUAAUAUGAUUCUAAAAUAACUUAUUGAUAUAUUUAAGAGAUAAUUAGUGAUAAAUCUAAUGUUAUGAAGGGUUUUAAAAAUUUUAUAAUGCUUAAAUCAUUUAAUUAUUUUUAUAAGACCAUAAACUUUAUACAUUAUAAAGAGAUCAAGUCAUUUACUAUUAUUUACAUGCAAAUAGAAAGAAAAAAAAUAUGGUCGAAACUUUAAAGUUAGUUUAUGUUCUGAUUCUAUUUUAUUCCAUAUUUCUUGGCAUAAUAGUAUGUAAUUCUUCUCUAAUUUCGUAAAGGCUUCUGUGUACAGAUCUGAAACAUACUAAUGAUAUAAAUGAGCUCUUGCUCUAGCAAGAUAAUUGUAUGAUAUAUCUUAUGUUAAAAUGUUUCAUUUGUUAUCAUUUAGAUUUUAUGCAUGCACUAAAUAUUUAUUCCUCCUCCUGCUCCUCAAUAUUAAUUUCACAUAAUCCUCAUCUUGAAACCAUUAAUUCAAACCAAGUCUUAUCAAAUCCAUUGUUAAUUAUGUGUCACGCCUCACUGAGAUGAGACAAUAUGAAAAUAUUAUAAUGAAUCAACAAUAAGCAGUAUCAAAAAGAAAUUAAACAAAAAAACUACAUUUUUUUAAUGUAAAAUACAUAUAUUAUAAAUAAAAAGGUGAAAUCUCAUGCAAGAGUACAACCACAUAGAAAUUAAUGUACAAGAAGUACUAAAGUCAAGCAAUAAUAAAAAACAUAGAAUCCCACCCACAGAAAAACAAAAGUAAGAACUAAAACACCAACGGAAAACCAACUAAACUCCUAUCAAGAACCCUCAACCACAGGCUAAAGUUUAGAGUUCGACUCGACUUUUAGUUCGUCGAACUUGGUUCAUGAACCAAAUAAGUUGAGUUUGAGCUGAAAAUUAAAUUCGUUAAAUAAAUGAAUGAGCUUCAACUAUAUAUAAUUUAACUCAUUUGAAAGUUAAGCUCAUUUAGUUCAUGAAUCGACUCGAUUACAAAUAUAUAUUUGCAACAUGUGGCAAAUUUCAAGGGGCAACAUAGAGAGUUAGCACAAAACAAGUCCCACAUCGAAGGUCUUGUAAGCUAACAAAGGUCAAAGUAAAAUAAGCUCUUGUGUUGCAUCCUUCUACGAUGUGUUUUCACUGUCAUUAAAGUGACAUACACAUUCCAUUUUUCACUUGAACAAAGUAGUUUAAUUUUUUUUAAGUUACCACUAUUACGUGAGCACUCGGUUUCUUGAACCAAUUUGUGGUUUGGAAGGGGUUUUUGGGAAUUCUAUAGAUUUGUAUAUCUAAUAUUUGCCUUUUAAAAAUAAUUAAAUUAAAUGGUGAAAAGAUCUAAAAAAAUAUCUCUUUUUUUACAACAAAAGAAAAUAAUUUGAAUUAUGAGUUUCAAGCUAACUAACCGAACCUAACGAGUCGAACUGAGUUGUUCAUGAACUUUUAAUGAGUCGAACUUAAGCCAAAAAAUAGUUCAUAUCGAAUUCGAGUCGAGUUUCGAGCCGAACUAUUUCUUAAAGAGUUGAGUCGAGCUCAGACAAGUUCGACACGAUUCGAUACAUUUCCAGCCCUAACCACAACCGAACAAGAGCAAGACUAGGAACAUAACCCAUCAGUCAACCAAUCCAAGACAAAUCUACCAUAAGUCACUAACGGUGUCAACAUAGAAUGUGUUCAUGAUCCCAAUUAUAGAAGGAACAAGGGUGACCACAAUGUUUUCAUAAAAACCACUUUCAAGAGGAAAAUUUAACAAUAUCCACCAACCGUAGCAGAUCAGUUAAUAUUUGUUAAAAGUGGAGAAAGAAAAGCCCAAUUUUUGCACGUAAUUUAGCCUAGGAUGGUCCUUCCCAACGACUUAGGUUUUCAGAGCCACCCAUGACAACCAAGAAUGAUUCCAUAAUAAAUAAUAAUUAUUUUAACAAUUUUGUUUUAAAAUCAAUACCAAUUUACUUUGUAAAUAUUCUGAUUCGCAUAAUUGACGUGAAUAAAAAAGUAGAAUAAAUUAUGCAAUGAAAUUUUAAAUUUACAUUUUACACGUUCAUAAUAAUGUUCUCACUCCAAUGGUGUAAUAUAUUCAUACAUACCUUUACUAUCACGAAAGGGUAAAAAAUUAGUGAAGGAAAAGAUAAUGAAAAGUUAGCUAAAUUAUAUUUAAUUAUUAUGAUUAUUAAGCUUAUUAUAUGAUUCUAAAAUAACUUAUUGAUAUAUUUAUGAGAUAAUUAGUGAUGAUUCUAAUGUUAUGAAGGGUUUUUAAAAUUUUAUAAUGCUUAAAUCAUUUAAUUAUUUUUAUAAGACCAUAAACUUUAUACAUUAUAAAGAGAUCAAGUCAUUUACUAUUAUUUAGAUGUAAAUAGAAAGAAAAAAAAAUAUGGUUGAAACUUUAAAGUUGGUUUAUGUUCUGAUUCUAUUUUAUUCCAUAUUUCUUGGCAUAAUAGUAUGUAAUUCUUCUGGAAUUACGUAUUUUGACGUUCGUUGUGAAAAAGAUAAAGAUUGUCCAAAACCUCCGAGGAUUAAUAUUAGGAUUAAUAUUAGGUGUCGUAAAGGCUUCUGUGUACAGAUCUGAAACAUACUAAUGAUAUAAAUGAGUUCUUGCUUUAACAAGAUAAUUGUAUGAUAUAUCUUAUGUUAAAAUGUUUCAUUUGUUAUCAUUUAGAUUUUAUGCAUGCACUAAAUAUUUAUUCCUCCUCCUGCUCCUCAAUACUAAUUUCACAUAAUCCUCAUCUUGAAACCAUUAAUUCAAACCAAGUCUUAUCAAAUCCAUUGUUAAUUAUGUUUCAGUCCUCACUGAGAUGAGACAAUAUGAAAAUAUUAUAAUGAAUCAACAAUAAGCAGUAUCAAAAAGAAAUUAAACAAAAAAACUACAUUUUUUUAAUGUAAAAUACAUAUAUUAUAAAUAAAAAGGUGAAAUCUCAUGCAAGAGUACAACCACAUAGAAAUUAAUGUACAAGAAGUACUAAAGUCAAGCAAUAAUAAAAAACAUAGAAUCCCACCCACAGAAAAACAAAAGUAAGAACUAAAACACCAACGGAAAACCAACUAAACUCCUAUCAAGAACCCUCAACCACAGGCUAAAGUUUAGAGUUCGACUCGACUUUUAGUUCGUCGAACUUGGUUCAUGAACCAAAUAAGUUGAGUUUGAGCUGAAAAUUAAAUUCGUUAAAUAAAUGAAUGAGCUUCAACUAUAUAUAAUUUAACUCAUUUGAAAGUUAAGCUCAUUUAGUUCAUGAAUCGACUCGAUUACAAAUAUAUAUUUGCAACAUGUGGCAAAUUUCAAGGGGCAACAUAGAGAGUUAGCACAAAACAAGUCCCACAUCGAAGGUCUUGUAAGCUAACAAAGGUCAAAGUAAAAUAAGCUCUUGUGUUGCAUCCUUCUACGAUGUGUUUUCACUGUCAUUAAAGUGACAUACACAUUCCAUUUUUCACUUGAACAAAGUAGUUUAAUUUUUUUUAAGUUACCACUAUUACGUGAGCACUCGGUUUCUUGAACCAAUUUGUGGUUUGGAAGGGGUUUUUGGGAAUUCUAUAGAUUUGUAUAUCUAAUAUUUGCCUUUUAAAAAUAAUUAAAUUAAAUGGUGAAAAGAUCUAAAAAAAUAUCUCUUUUUUUACAACAAAAGAAAAUAAUUUGAAUUAUGAGUUUCAAGCUAACUAACCGAACCUAACGAGUCGAACUGAGUUGUUCAUGAACUUUUAAUGAGUCGAACUUAAGCCAAAAAAUAGUUCAUAUCGAAUUCGAGUCGAGUUUCGAGCCGAACUAUUUCUUAAAGAGUUGAGUCGAGCUCAGACAAGUUCGACACGAUUCGAUACAUUUCCAGCCCUAACCACAACCGAACAAGAGCAAGACUAGGAACAUAACCCAUCAGUCAACCAAUCCAAGACAAAUCUACCAUAAGUCACUAACGGUGUCAACAUAGAAUGUGUUCAUGAUCCCAAUUAUAGAAGGAACAAGGGUGACCACAAUGUUUUCAUAAAAACCACUUUCAAGAGGAAAAUUUAACAAUAUCCACCAACCGUAGCAGAUCAGUUAAUAUUUGUUAAAAGUGGAGAAAGAAAAGCCCAAUUUUUGCACGUAAUUUAGCCUAGGAUGGUCCUUCCCAACGACUUAGGUUUUCAGAGCCACCCAUGACAACCAAGAAUGAUUCCAUAAUAAAUAAUAAUUAUUUUAACAAUUUUGUUUUAAAAUCAAUAUCAAUUUACUUUGUAAAUAUUCUGAUUCGCAUAAUUGACGUGAAUAAAAAAGUAGAAUAAAUUAUGCAAUGAAAUUUUAAAUUUACAUUUUACACGUUCAUAAUAAUGUUCUCACUCCAAUGGUGUAAUAUAUUCAUACAUACCUUUACUAUCACGAAAGGGUAAAAAAUUAGUGAAGGAAAAGAUAAUGAAAAGUUAGCUAAAUUAUAUUUAAUUAUUAUGAUUAUUAAGCUUAUUAUAUGAUUCUAAAAUAACUUAUUGAUAUAUUUAUGAGAUAAUU